rnacentral:rRNA from 1 species
CACGUAGGGCGCAAGCGUUGUCCGGAAUUAUUGGGCGUAAAGAGCUCGUAGGCGGUCUGUUACGUCUGCUGUGAAAACCCAGGGCUUAACCCUGGGCUUGCAGUGGAUACGGGCAGACUAGAGGCAGGUAGGGGAGAAUGGAAUUCCCGGUGUAGCGGUGAAAUGCGCAGAUAUCGGGAGGAACACCGGUGGCGAAGGCGGUUCUCUGGGCCUGACCUGACGCUGGGGAGCGAAAGCGUGGGGAGCAAACAGG